ACCCUACCGUUGGAGAGUAACGAACAGUACGAUAGCGACUAGACAAAAUUUCCCCUGAAGAAGACCGACAAAACCGGUCGAAACGUCGGGCAGUUUUAAUAUAAACAUCGCUUGAUUAUUUUUAACCGACUGAGAAAGCCGACCAAUCAGAACAU